UGGGGAAUCUUGCACAAUGGGGGAAACCCUGAUGCAGCGACGCCGCGUGAGCGAUGAAGCCCUUCGGGGUGUAAAGCUCUUUCGGCAGGGAAGAUGAUGACGGUACCUGCAGAAGCAGCUGCGGCUAACUACGUGCCAGCAGCCGCGGUAAUACGUAGGCAGCAAGCGUUGUUCGGAGUUACUGGGCGUAAAGGGUGUGUAGGCGGUCUCUUAAGUUUGGUGUGAAAUCUCCCGGCUCAACCGGGAGGGUGCGCCGAAUACUGAGAGGCUCGAGUGCGGGAGAGGAAAGUGGAAUUCCUGGUGUAGCGGUGAAAUGCGUAGAUAUCAGGAGGAACACCGGUGGUGUAAACGGCUUUCUGGACCGUGACUGACGCUGAGACACGAAAGCGUGGGUAGCAAACA
rnacentral:rRNA from 1 species